AUUGGACGCUGGCGGCAGGCCUAACACAUGCAAGUCGAGCGGAUGAGAGGAGCUUGCUCCUCGAUUCAGCGGCGGACGGGUGAGUAAUGCCUAGGAAUCUGCCUAGUAGUGGGGGACAACGUUCGAAAGGAACGCUAAUACCGCAUACGUCCUACGGGAGAAAGUGGGGGAUCUUCGGACCUCACGCUAUUAGAUGAGCCUAGGUCGGAUUAGCUAGUUGGUAGGGUAACGGCCUACCAAGGCGACGAUCCGUAACUGGUCUGAGAGGAUGAUCAGUCACACUGGAACUGAGACACGGUCCAGACUCCUACGGGAGGCAGCAGUGGGGAAUAUUGGACAAUGGGCGAAAGCCUGAUCCAGCCAUGCCGCGUGUGUGAAGAAGGCCCUCGGGUCGUAAAGCACUUUAAGUUGGGAGGAAGGGCUUACAGCGAAUACCUGUGAGUUUUGACGUUACCGACAGAAUAAGCACCGGCUAACUUCGUGCCAGCAGCCGCCGCCG
rnacentral:rRNA from 1 species